CUAUCUCCUAUCUCGACGUUCAAUGCCACAACUGUCAGUUUGACUUGACUUUCGUUUGAUUUUGAUAGUUGUAUAUGCGACACAGGGUCACAAGAGUCAGAAAAUAAUAAUAAAGAACAAGGUAACUGUGUGUCAUUGUUUCAGCACACAUUUGUGAAGAUACGUUGAAUCGUUACGGAAUGUCGGAUUUUAAGAAGAGAUAAAAAUCCGCACGUUUCAGACAUGGGAAUCGUAUAUAAUAUGUUAGAAUAUUAUACGAACUUAUAUAAACAUAAGGAAUCUCGCAAAAGGAAAUUAGAAUGCGGUCCUUCCAUAAUAAUCGUACAUUGCAAGAUAUCUCGGUACCAGUCCGCAAUUCAUGUACCACACCGAAUAGAGAGAAGCCAAAUGAUAAAAACAGAAAUUAUUUGCAUUUGCUAUUUAUGAGAUGAGACUUCCAUCUGGAUUGCAUUAAUGUUAUAAAUAUUAUCUUAUUACAUAUGAUGUUAACAAAUUGUAAUCAGCAUUUAUUAUGUAAAUUAAUAUAACGAAAUAUAAGCUGUGCAAAGGGCAUUUAAUUUAUUUAAUAA